GAAGAACAGGAGAUAAGCUGCAAGCAGGGGAGCUCCAGGUUCAUAAACUUGAGUGAAAGCUGCUAGGGACAGGGUUUCUGUUCUCUUGUUCUUUGUAAAGUGCCAUUCAUAGGGAUGACAAAAUAAUCAUGGCACAGGCUGACAUUCAGACAUAAUUCCUGGAACUUCAUUCUUCAUUCAAGCUUCAAGCUUCUUCAUUCUUCUCUCAGCUGUUGUCCUGGGCAUAUGCUGUGCAACCUUGUGCAGCCUAAUCGGGACUGACCUUCCCCUGCAAUUCGUCUGGAAAACUGAUGUUUCUCUGUACAUCCAAAUAGAAAUUGAAUUCAGGUCAGACAAGACAGCAGGAACUUCAAGGUCCAGUGUCA